rnacentral:rRNA from 1 species
GGUAAUACGUAGGUGGCAAGCGUUGUCCGGAAUUAUUGGGCGUAAAGGGCGCGCAGGCGGCGUCGUAAGUCGGUCUUAAAAGUGCGGGGCUUAACCCCGUGAGGGGACCGAAACUGCGAUGCUAGAGUAUCGGAGAGGAAAGCGGAAUUCCUAGUGUAGCGGUGAAAUGCGUAGAUAUUAGGAGGAACACCAGUGGCGAAAGCGGCUUUCUGGACGACAACUGACGCUGAGGCGCGAAAGCCAGGGGAGCAAACGGGAUUAGAUACCCCGGUAGUCCUGGCCGUAAACGAUGGAUACUAGGUGUAGGAGGUAUCGACCCCUUCUGUGCCGGAGUUAACGCAAUAAGUAUCCCGCCUGGGGAGUACGGCCGCAAGGCUGAAACUCAAAGGAAUUGACGGGGGCCCGCACAAGCGGUGGAGUAUGUGGUUUAAUUCGACGCAACGCGAAGAACCUUACCAAGCCUUGACAUUGAUUGCUAAGGGUAGAGAUACCCUGUUUCUCUUCGGAGGACAAGAAAACAGGUGGUGCACGGCUGUCGUCAGCUCGUGUCGUGAGAUGUUGGGUUAAGUCCCGCAACGAGCGCAACCCCUAUCUUCUGUUACCAGCGGUUCGGCCGGGGACUCAGGAGAGACUGCCGCAGACAAUGCGGAGGAAGGCGGGGAUGACGUCAAGCCAUCAUGCCCCUUAUGGCUUGGGCUACACACGUACUACAAUGGCUCUUAAUAGAGGGAAGCGAAGGAGCGAUCCGGAGCAAACCCCAAAAACAGAGUCCCAGUUCGGAUUGCAGGCUGCAACCCGCCUGCAUGAAGCAGGAAUCGCUAGUAAUCGCAGGUCAGCAUACUGCGGUGAAUACGUUCCCGGGCCUUGUACACACCGCCCGUCACACCACGAAAGUCAUUCACACCCGAAGCCGGUGAGGCAACCGCAAGGAGCCAGCCGUCGAAGGUGGGGGCGAUGAUUGGGGUGAAGUCGUAACAAGGUAGCCG